rnacentral:rRNA from 1 species
CCUACGGGAGGCUGCAGUGGGGAAUAUUGCACAAUGGGGGAAACCCUGAUGCAGCGACGCCGCGUGAGUGAAGAAGUAUCUCGGUACGUAAAGCUCUAUCAGAAGGAAAGAAAAUGACGGUACCUGACUAAGAAGCCCCGGCUAACUACGUGCCAGCAGCCGCGGUAUUACGUAGGGAGCAAGCGUUAUCCGGAUUUACGGGGGGUAAAGGGAGCGUAGAUGGCGCUGCAAGUCCGGAGUGAAAGCCCAUGGCCUAACCAUGGGACUGCUCUGGAAACUGUAGAGCUUGAGUGCGGGAGGGGCAGGCGGAAUUCCUAGUGUAGCGGUGAAAUGCGUAGAUAUUAGGAGGAACACCGGCGGCGAAGGCGGCCUGCUGGACCGUAACUGACGUUGAGGCUCGAAAGCGUGGGGAGCAAACAGGAUUAGAUACCCCGGUAGUC